rnacentral:lncRNA from 1 species
ACUUUCCUCGGUCUCUGACUUUUGAUGGAGACCCAGAACAGGCAGCCAUGUCUGAUGUGAGAUUGUAAUUGUAAUUGCUGUGCCCCCAAGACAACACUGCUCAUACCUUCUUCCCAUUCUUUCUGCUCCCCCUACCCCAGGACACUUCCUGAGUCUAAGAUGGAGUAGGAUCUAUGCUUUGUUUAGGACUGAGUACUCGACUGUCAGUUUUCCUGGCUCCCAGGGAAACCAAGAGUUUCUGUAUUCAGUGGCUCUUACUAUAAAGACAGGGUUCUCUGAUGAAGGCUGAGAGGGGCCUUUGUCUAUAGAUAUAAACAUGGAUAUUUAGAAGGUAGUUAGACUCCAAGAAAAUUUAGCUAAACAAUAAUAGGUUCCUUCUUAGGACUACGUUCUCCCUGCACAUGGGGUUUUGGCUGGUUUUCUAGUAUUAAGAAUGGAUCUUCUCUGAGUAAGCCGACCUCGUAUCCAAUCAUGCAGUCAUUGGUUGACUAUCACAGCAUCAUUGCAUAUGUGGGCACAUCUUUGUUGGUGAAUCAGUACUGCACUUGAUAGGGGUCCCCAUGAGAUGAAGCAUCGGUAUGAUUUCUGCCCCACCUCCCACCCUUCCGAAGCCUGCACAGCACAUCCCAUCCAUCCUGGAUGUCAGCCAGCAGAGAUGGACUUUACAGCUCAGCUCCAGCAUGUUUCUGUCUGUAUUUCAGUCAAGUGGUGUGGUGUCUUCAACGACCAAGUCUUAUCAUCUGAUCAUGGUGUGCAACCAAGAAUGAGAAAAGCUGGCAUUGUUUUGAAGUGCCUUUCAGGACUCUUCAACCAACAAUUCCUAUGGAGGUGCCACAGAUAAAAAGAGUAAGUGUGAAACGGAGAAAAACAAAACAACAACAAACAAACAAACAAACCGUAAAGGCGAGAGCAUUGUGGUCAAUGAAAGAUUGAAUAGCAGUCUAUUUCUUUGAUUCCCCCCAACCCCCAAGCUUAGAGUCCAUGCCUUGGAAGAAAAACUCUAUGGCUGGGAACUUGGUCAAAAUGCAGCAUCUGCCAAAUCAAUAAUUAUUUCCUUUGGUGUGUGUGGGGGGGGGGGGGGGAGGGGGACCUGUCUUUUUUGUUGUUGUUGAGUGGUUGAGGCUCAUCUGGAAGGACUCUUGUUUAUCUUUGGUAGCUGGGAGUGGAGAGGGCCUGGGAGCAACUGGAGCUGCAGAGGAGAGAAGGUUACUGGAAGGGGUGUCAGACGUUGUGAAAGGGAAGCUGAACCGCAGAGUGUGGUGCAAUGAUGCCGGCAACCCGAGCUGAGCUGAGUUAGGAGCCCAGGCGUGGUGCGGCUCACAGGAUUGUGUGUAGCCUGCUAUUUCCACACACUGUAGUAAAGUGGCACACGGAGGAGGAGUCGCUCCAGGGCAGGGCGAGUUCACAGAUGCUUUGAAGAGUAAACCCAAACAGGUUGGAUGACAGCAGCAGUAGUAGUAGCAGCAGGAGCAGCAGGAGCAGCAGGAGCAGCAGCAGCAGCAGCAGCAGCAGCAGCAGCAGCAGCAGCAGCAGCAGGAGGAGGAGGAUGUGGUUCAAAUGGCAGUGAGGGGAAGAAGGGAAUGUAACGGAGGGGCUGCCAGACGUCGCUUUCUUCACAGAUAACACUCUGUACACGUUCGGAUCCAAGGAUAUUGCUCUCAGUGAACUCAGUUUCUAUUAUAUAGCAAAAAUCUUGUGCCUAGGGAUCAUUAAAGACUUCAAAAGGAGGACAGUUAUGUCUACUGUCUUUCCACAUUCCUGACAUUCAAGGCAGGUCACAUACUAGAAAAUCUGUAUAUUUGAUAGUACUACAUGUCACGGUUAUGAUAAUAACAAUAACACGAU